GGGCUCUUGGUUCUUGCAUGGAAACGUUCAGGAUUCUUUCAAAGUUAGAGAACCAUAACUUUGUUUUUUACUCCUUGGUUCUUUUAUUCAUGUGAUUUAGCCUAGCAAGACUAAGUCACACAUGCUAACAGCCAGCUCAGAAUAGAUAUAAUGAUUUUAGAUCAAAACUCUGUGCAGAAAAAAAAAAAUCAUGGACUGAAAUAGGGGAUAUCAGGGCCAAGCAAACUCAGAUGCCUUAAGGAAAUAGCAAAAAUGGGUUCUUCCCUCUUCUGUGGACGGCCAGCGUGUUACAGCACCCGUGUGCAUGUGAGAUCUCUGCCUUUUAUUUUCAGUUACCCCCAAGUCUCCUAACCAAAGCGUCUCCUCCCUGAUGAGGGUGAUCACUGGCUACAAGCCUGGGGCUUCCACACCCAAGGUCUGGGAAGCUGCUCUUUCCGGAAGGGUGGUAGAGACCCUGGGAACCAGACCAGGCGGGCUCACAAAGUAUGAAGAGAAUGUCGGGAGAGGAAGUGGUGGCUCUGAGUCAGCACGAGUCAUCUGGUUCCAGUGACAAUGAAGACUGAGGUGUCUGCUUUGCAGUUUUUUUUUUUCUUUUCUUGUCUUUUUUUUUUUUUUUCCUAAUCAUGUGGACAUCUCUGAGAAUGAGGGGACUGGGUGACUUUGCAGUGUCUGCUUUCUAAGUUUCAAAGUGACUUUCCAGGCAAGCUGCGCAUAUCUUGGGAUCUUCACAGCACAGUGGCUGGGAAGGCAGGCGGACCCGUCUAUCAGCUUCUCCCUGAAUAACUGGGAGCUGAAACAGGAAGCCCCAUGACACAGUUGAUCGAAAAUGACACAGACACAGAAAAAUCAGGACGUGCCCCCAGCAGCACCCCUACCUGCUGCCUGCUGAUCACGGCUGGGAGGCCCGUCCAGGGUUCCCACCCGGGAACGGACUCUUAGCUACUCAGUGCUCACGGGUGCUGGGCCUGCAGAGCUUUUCGGAUGCUCUCUUACAGCUGGUUUGUUAUCUUUUAAUCAAUCAACUAAUUAAUCUAUUACUUUAUUUAUUGGCCCUCCCCAUGUCUUGAUCCUUUCUUCAUUAAAAGCAAAAGGAAAGAAAAUGCAAUUGUCUGUUUCUUAGCUAAUCCAGAAACACCGAUUUAAAGGGCUCUAAACUUGAACAUCAGGCAACUUUCUCCAAGUCACUUGUCAAGAUUAUCAUAACUGCACACAGGGCAUCUUUAAAAGUGUGUGGAGCUGGAAUCUCAUCACUCAACCAUGUUUAUCCUAUGUUUUAUACCUUUCUAGAAGAUCUUUCAAGAUAAUUUCUCUAGAGUCACUGUUGGCAGGCUGACAGUGGAGAACACUGAGAUCUGUGUGGACAUGUCUUCUCAGCACAGCUGGUAACUCACCUAGAGAUCACUCUCAACUUUAAGCUUCAGUUGGAAACCCCAACUUUCUCUCUUUCCUCCUGUCUACCCCCACAUAAAUCACUGAUUUGUAGAUUUGAUCUAUAAUAGUUUCUUUGGGGUCUACUGUGUACCACGUUCUGUUGGCAAGGUAGCCUCCGCACCCACCUCCUGGGCAUGUUUGGCUCAAGAAGUGAAGAACGGGGAGGUCAAGUGUAUAUCAAGGGCAUUUCAUUCCGACGUCCUGAUUUCUCAAAUCCACUCCUCAAUUCUGAGAUCCUGGGACUGGCACUUGAAUAUCCUCUGAAAUGGUUAAAUGGCCAGUCAUUCUUUCGACAGAGUCCUCUUUCACAUCCCCCAACUGUGAGCUGAACAAAUUUACCAUCCUAGGAAUGUAGCCAAAGAGCCCAUUUGUAGUCCCCUUCCCAGAGUCUAUUGGUUUUCACUUCUGAGCUUAGCAGAAAUCCAAGAAUAACUCAGUGGCCGUGUCUACUGCUUUAUACGUCUCUACAUCAGUUUGCUAAUUGGCCAUGGGGGUCGUCACAGAGGCUCUGGGUGAGUGACCAGUGGAUAUUGUCCAGCCCUCUCCCAAAUGUUCAGACUCUGGAAGGCUCUCCUGAACACCAAGUCCCGAGGCACCCUCAGCCCUGCCAGUUAUCUCUCUGAUUUUCUACAUGGGGAUUGACCAGCAUUUGAAGUGACCGUCGUCGUUGUCGUUGUUUAUUUAUUGUCUGUGGGUCUCACUGUCCCCGCCCCUCAGUUUCCUCUUUAAGAGGCAAACGUGCUGUCUCAUCGCCAAGCCUGUCUACAGAAUCUGGCACUCUACAGCAGACAUGCUGCCUAGGUCUGUCAGAUCCUUGCUUCUCAGUAACAGGCACAUCUGUAUUGUAACCACGCGGUGAGGAUAAGCCUCCACUUCUGCUAGAUGCUGGAACAGGAGGAUGAGGCUCUAGGCCAUCCUCCAGUCUGCUGCUCAGCCAGAGGGGUGGGUCACAAGCCCUCCCCCACUGUCAUAUCCACAUGCUCAUCAGACCCAACUUUCUCCUUGCUAAUCUUGUCAAGUCCAAGUUUAUUUGACUAUAUUCCUAGAAGAUCAAAAAAACCAUUGAGUUGUUGAAGUAAGUCUUCGGUGGAGUGUCUCCUGGAGGAGCUUUCCUCAAAAGAGCACCCUGGGACUGUUUUUCCUGUCUGCCUGGGCUCAAACCGAGAGGAAGCAAUUGGAGAGGUCACACAGGGAGCAGAGAUGAUGGUCCAGAGCAUGAUGAAUAGCUUAGUGACAGACAUAGGUCUGUGCGUGUGCCCUGCAGAGGCUCACGGAGGUAUCUCUGGGCAUCAGCAGCAGUAAGCAUGUCUCUCCCAGAUAGCUUUCCCUGUUCUGUAUAGCAGAACACAGCCUAUACAGCUCAUGGCCUCGCCUCUACUCUGUAGGGUGUUUAUGGUAACAGCAGCAAUAAAGAGAGUCUCAGGCUUCAGGAAGACCUGAAGUACGCACACAGCAUUGACUAGAUAAUUCACUCAUAAGGAUAAUUUUUGAAAAGUAAAAGAGAAUUGGCUAUAUAGUUUUAGUUUUUGCCACUGAGGCAAAAUUUUGACCCUGACCAGAGAGAGCAAUUAUUCACAAAUUAUAUAUAAAAACAACAACAACCAAAAAAUUCUCAACAUCCAGGAACUCAUCUGGACCCAACAUCAGAAUUUGGAAGUAGGAAACAUGUGAAAUAAACACUGGUAUUUUAAAUUUUUUA
rnacentral:lncRNA from 1 species